ensembl:lncRNA
GUUUUUACUGUAUUUUUAUAAUCAAAUAAAUUCAGCAUAAGAGACUCUUUCCAAAAUUAAAAAAAUCUUAAUUAUUCCAAAAUGCUUGACCAGUAUAUUAGUGUAGGCGGACAGAACUCUGUGUGAACUCGAGUUUCUUUAUAUAAAUUCCCAUCAGACUCGAGUGUUUUUUGAUAUUUUUAUCUCUCAAAUCAAUGUCAUUCCAGGCAAUAUCUCACUUGUUUGUUUGAUUUGUUUAGACUGAAGCCGAUGAUCAGCGCCGCCGGAGGGAAGAGACGCACUCAGAACCAGACUGUCUUUGUUUCGCUCUGACAAACAAUGUGGUGUUCAAGCAUGGACGAGAUAAUCAAGGAGGCGCUUUGACAUUGGCUAGCCACGGGUUGGAGAGGCUGUGGAUGAGAAAAUCGUAAGGGAGGACCACCCAUUGGGCUCGGAGGAGAGAGAUUCCCUACAC